CAGGGACCUAUGGGGGUAAAGUGAGGCCAUAGUCGAUGGCCAGGCCAAGUUUGUAUUUAAGAUCCUGGGUUUCUAGUUAUCUGCCUUGCGUCUCACCAUGAGCUUAAGCAAGUUUCAGGUGGACAUCUAAUUUCCCAUUCAUGCUUCUCAAGUGACAUGUACAGCUCAAGCAUGGUCCUAAUUGCUUUGCCAUGUUUAAACUCAUUCAGUUCUCACAGUCACCCAUGAAUAUUCCCAGUUUACAAGUGGGAAAACGAAGGGUCAGAAAAUGAACCCAUAAUCCAUGGAUAAUUAGUGGCAGACCAAGGAUUUGAAGCCAGGAGCAAAUGAGGUCAUUUUGCGAGUUUGCUCAUAAUAGAGCGCUUGGUCCAUGGCGGGGGUGGGGCAGGGGGGUGGUUCAGUGGAGGCUGCUGCAUAAGGAUUCACCUGGGUUCGCAGACCCUGCUAACAUGCUGCACAGCCAGGCACUCGUCCUGGUCAGGUGCCCCUCACUAAAGCCAGGGGUUGGAGUAGAUGACAUAUGUGCUUGGAGAGAUGAUGUCUGCCAUUCUUUCUAGCCCUAACUUGUGUGCUCAGGCCCCGGGUCGGUGGGAACUGAUGGAGAGCUAGGCCUAAAGACAGCGGAGCCCAUCAGAAUGUUACCUUCUCAGGAGGCUGGAAUGCAGUGGCACCUCACCUCUCCCCUGCGAGAUGGCACCUGUCCUGGAGGAAGGAACCAGACCAGGAGAAAGGGGACCUGGAGCAGUUCUCCUCAUGACACACAGUGAGGGCAUGCGCAGAUCCCUAACAUCACCUCCAUCUGCGAGGACCAGCCUAUCGUACAGCCGACUCACAUCUCUCAUCCUGGCCUCUGCUAACCAUCAUUUCUGGUGCCAUUUGCUAUCUUCACUGUUAGAAUUUCAUCACCUACAGCCCUUGUCAUUUCUGCACCCUAAGUUUUCUGGCUCUGGGAGGCCACAGCCCCCAGUUGUUUUCCUAAUUGUCUCCCAGCUCACCCAGCGCACCGUAAGCCAAAAAUGCUGCCAAGGGGAGGCCUGUGCUGCUCUGCCAGUAGCCCUGAAUCCUCGGGCCCCCUUCCCUGGGCUCAGCCCGGAUGACGAAUUAAACAAAUAUUGAAAAACGAUAA
rnacentral:lncRNA from 1 species